UUUGUUGACAGGAGAUAGAGAGCACAUGCGCUCACAUGCAGAGGCUCUGCGUUCGAGGUGUAUGUGCUCUCUAUGCUCCUGUCGUCACG
rnacentral:pre_miRNA from 1 species